rnacentral:rRNA from 1 species
CAGCCGCCGCGGUAAUACGUAGGUGGCAAGCGUUGUCCGGAAUUAUUGGGCGUAAAGCGCGCGCAGGCGGAUCAGUUAGUCUGUCUUAAAAGUUCGGGGCUUAACCCCGUGAGGGGAUGGAAACUGCUGAUCUAGAGUAUCGGAGAGGAAAGUGGAAUUCCUAGUGUAGCGGUGAAAUGCGUAGAUAUUAGGAAGAACACCAGUGGCGAAGGCGACUUUCUGGACGAAAACUGACGCUGAGGCGCGAAAGCCAGGGGAGCGAACGGGAUUAGAUACCCCAGUAGUCCCUGUCUCUUAUACA